CCUACGGGUGGCAGCAGUGGGGAAUAUUGCACAAUGGGGGAAACCCUGAUGCAGCGACGCCGCGUGAGUGAAGAAGUAUUUCGGUAUGUAAAGCUCUAUCAGCAGGGAAGAAGAAAGACGGUACCUGACUAAGAAGCCCCGGCUAACUACGUCCCAGCAGCCGCGGUAAUACGUAGGGGGCAAGCGUUAUCCGGAUUUACUGGGUGGAAAGGGAGCGUAGACGGCUGUGCAAGUCUGAAGUGAAAGGCGGGGGCCCAACCCCCGGACUGCUUUGGAAACUGUAUGGCUGGAGUGCAGGAGAGGUAAGUAGAAUUCCUAGUGUAGCGGUGACAAGCGUAGAUAUUAGGAGGAACACCAGUGGCGAAGGCGGCUUACUGGACUGUAACUGACGUUGAGGCUCGAAAGCGUGGGGAGCAAACAGGGUUAGAUACCCGGGUAGUC
rnacentral:rRNA from 1 species